UCAUACAAAACAAUAUACGUCUAAAUCAUACCAACCAAACAACCAAGUCCUUAGCAAAUAGAGCGCACUAACAUCUUCCACUGAGCUGAUAGCCUACUUGGAGGAGUCUCGACAUGUCUAUCGGUACCUGCGGGCAUGAAACGCAGCAUCCCCAAGCAAAAGGGACGUCAAUACGAAUAAUGUACCAAGUAUGUAAGACACAUAAAUAAGUAUAUAAAAGAUAUGGAAGAAAUACAGAGUAAAUGACUCAACCUGUAAGUCUAGAUAACUCAGUAAAUCAUGAAAUACUUAUAGUGUCAUGCAUAUGCGUAUGAAUGUCAUGUCGUGCAUAAGUACAUGUAUUCAUAACAUCAUCAAGCCUCUGAGGGUAUUCCAUCAUAUCAUCUCGGCCACUGUGGGCAAAAUCAUCAACGUAUACAAGCUGAUCAGGUGGUGCAUAUAUAACGUCGUAACCUUUUCCCAUAUCUCAUAUACAUAUAUAUGCGUAUAUAACGCCGUCUGGUCAUGGGUCAAUGUAUAUGUAUAAAUGAAUGCAAUAUAUGAGAAGUACGUCAAUAAAAUCUCUUGGAACGUCAUAAGACCAUUAUAUCUUUGAUUAAUAUCAUGAAAUAAACUUUAUCAAGUUACGUAUUUUUUUGAUACCCAUGAACAUACGAUAUAAUAAUGAUACAUAUGAAAAUUCAAGAAAAUAGACACCUCUAAUACUUUUAUAAAUAGAGUCAUUUAUGGAAGUUGUGCAUUUUCUCGUUUCAUUUGUAUCGUAUGGAUCAUGCAAAAAAUCUAGAAGGGAUAGCCUUAACAUACCUGGAGUAGAAAAAAAUCCGUAUGAUAUUCUUGGAAAAGGUUGCACAGUACUCCCUUAGAAUCGCAAAACCUCACGUUGCUUAAGAUGCUAAGAAAUCUCGUGAAGAAUUUUCGUUUCAAGAUAUCUCGUUGAAGUCUUGCUGAAUUCAUGUUGCUAACGUUUGGAAUCCUUU
rnacentral:lncRNA from 1 species